UACGUAGGGAGCGAGCGUUGUCCGGAAUCAUUGGGCGUAAAGAGCAUGUAGGUGGAUCAAUUAGUCUGCUGUGAAAGUCAAAGGCUCAACCUUUGAAAGCCGGUGGAUACUGUUGAUCUAGAGUACGGAAGAGGCGAGUGGAAGUUCCUAGGUGUAGCGGUGGAAUGCGCAGAUAUCAGGAGGAACACCAAUAGCGAAGGCAGCUCGCUGGGACGUUACUGACACUGAGAUGCGAAAGCGUGGGGAGCAAACAGG
rnacentral:rRNA from 1 species